AUGAAGAUGAGAAUGGUGGAUCGCUGGGUUACGAUUUCGAAUAGAGGGAGUUUGGAUGAAGGUUGGAUGAAAGGGGAGUUGAUGGGGGUUGUAAUUGAAGGCGGACGUUGGGCGAAGGGUGGCGUUUGGCGAUGUGAGCGGAGAUGGUUGGAUAGCGUUGAAAUUGAAUAUGGGGUUACUGUUUUGGGUGAUGAUGACGGAUGA